rnacentral:tRNA from 1 species
GGGCUGGGGCUCAGUGGCAGAGCACUUGCCUUGCACACAUGAGGCACUGGGUUUGAUCCCCGGCACCACA